GACUCUCGGCAACGGAUAUCUCGGCUCUCGCAUCGAUGAAGAACGUAGCGAAAUGCGAUACUUGGUGUGAAUUGCAGAAUCCCGUGAACCAUCGAGUCUUUGAACGCAAGUUGCGCCCGAUGCCAUUAGGUUGAGGGCACGUCUGCCUGGGUGUCA
rnacentral:rRNA from 1 species